rnacentral:rRNA from 1 species
GACGAACGCUGGCGGCGUGCUUAACACGUGCAAGUCGAACGGAAAGGCCCUGCUUUUGUGGGGUGCUCGAGUGGCGAACGGGUGAGUAACACGUGAGUAACCUGCCCUUGACCUUGGGAUAACUUCAGGAAACUGGGGCUAAUACCGGAUAGGAGCUCCUGCUGCAUGGUGGGGGUUGGAAAGUUUCGGCGGUUGGGGAUGGACUCGCGGCUUAUCAGCUUGUUGGUGGGGUAGUGGCUUACCAAGGCUUUGACGGGUAGCCGGCCUGAGAGGGUGACCGGCCACAUUGGGACUGAGAUACGGCCCAGACUCCUACGGGAGGCAGCAGUGGGGAAUAUUGCACAAUGGGCGGAAGCCUGAUGCAGCAACGCCGCGUGCGGGAUGACGGCCUUCGGGUUGUAAACCGCUUUCGCCUGUGACGAAGCGUGAGUGACGGUAAUGGGUAAAGAAGCACCGGCUAACUACGUG